rnacentral:tRNA from 1 species
AUUUUCUUAGUUUUUAUAACGUUCUGAUUUCGGCUCGGAAAAAAUGAUUAAAUUCAUAAGAAUAUU